rnacentral:antisense_RNA from 1 species
UGUAGGAGUGAGCCUGCUCGCGAUGACGUCGUGUCAUUCAACAUUGAUUUGUCUGACACGACGUCAUCGCGAGCAGGCUCACUCCUACA